rnacentral:rRNA from 1 species
GACGAACGCUGGCGGCGUGCUUAACACAUGCAAGUCGAGCGGUAAGGCCCUUUCGGGGGUACACGAGCGGCGAACGGGUGAGUAACACGUGGGUGACCUGCCCUCAGCUCUGGGAUAAGCCUGGGAAACCGGGUCUAAUACUGGAUAUGACUCCAUGACGCAUGUUGUGGGGUGGAAAGCCUUGUGCGGCUGAGGAUGGGCCCGCGGCCUAUCAGCUUGUUGGUGGGGUGAUGGCCUACCAAGCGACGACGGGUAGCCGGCCUGAGAGGGCGACCGGCCACACUGGGACUGAGACACGGCCCAGACUCCUACGGGAGGCAGCA